rnacentral:rRNA from 1 species
GACGAACCGAGCGAACGUUAUUCGGAAUCACUGGGCGUAAAGGGUGCGUAGGCGGGUCUUUAAGGCAGGGGUGAAAUCCUGGAGCUCAACUCCAGAACUGCCUUUGAUACUGAGGAUCUUGAGUUCGGGAGAGGUGAGUGGAACUGCGAGUGUAGAGGUGAAAUUCGUAGAUAUUCGCAAGAACACCAGUGGCGAAGGCGGCUCACUGGCCCGGUACUGACGCUGAGGUGCGAAAGCGUGGGGAGCAAACAGG